rnacentral:rRNA from 1 species
GACGAACGCUGGCGGCGUGCCUAAUACAUGCAGGUAGAACGCUGAAGGAGGAGCUUGCUCUUCUGGAUGAGUUGCGAACGGGUGAGUAACGCGUAGGUAACCUGCCUGGUAGCGGGGGAUAACUAUUGGAAACGAUAGCUAAUACCGCAUAACAGUAGAUGUUGCAUGACAUUUGCUUAAAAGGUGCAAUUGCAUCACUACCAGAUGGACCUGCGUUGUAUUAGCUAGUUGGUGGGGUAACGGCUCACCAAGGCGACGAUACAUAGCCGACCUGAGAGGGUGAUCGGCCACACUGGGACUGAGACACGGCCCAGACUCCUACGGGAGGCAGCAGUAGGGAAUCUUCGGCAAUGGACGGAAGUCUGACCGAGCAACGCCGCGUGAGUGAAGAAGGUUUUCGGAUCGUAAAGCUCUGUUGUAAGGGAAGAACGAGUGUGAGAGUGGAAAGUUCACACUGUGACGGUAUCUUACCAGAAAGGGACGGCUAACUACGUG